AUGAAGUCUAUAUCUCCAUAUUCCAUGUUUUUGUUUUUUUGUAGUUAUACAGGUCCUGUGGUUGACGGCAGUCUCAAAGCCCAGAGAGAGAACCCGGAGAUGUCUGUACGCAAUACCGACGCUGGCCUGCGGGGGGCGAAAAAGAGGCUGGAGCAGCUGAUAAAGGACCUGCUGGGGGAGCUGGGCUGGGCCAGCAGAGGUAGAGGCCAGCAGGAGGAAGAGGAGGAAGAGGAGGAUGGGAGUGGGCAGAGAGAGGCGGGCAGCGGGGAAGAGUGUGACGACGAGGACGGCUGCGAAGGAUCUGCACACGACAAUGGUGAGAAGGAGGUAGGUGGGGCCUGGCCCUCUCUCCGCCCCCCGUCCUCCCCUCGCCGGCCCCCUCCUCCACAGGUGGCCGUUCUGGGGGACUCUUGCUCCAUCUCCACGGCUCACCUUUCACCUCUGACCCUGACCUCCCUGCUCUUCCUGUCUCUGCUCCUAUCGCUACGGCAACCGCUCUGAGUGGGACCAGGAGCAUUUAAUGAAGACUGGCAGAAAAGAAUAAAGAAAGGAGAAGCAGAAGGGACAGUGACAACGCCUCAGUAGAAGUGUGUGUGUGUGUGUGUGUGUGUGUGUGUGUGUGUGUGUGUGUGUGUGUGUGUGUGUGUGUGUGUGUGUGUGUGUGUGUGUGUGUGUGUGUGUGUGUGGACGGACAUUAGUAAGACACCCACGAUGAAGGCACGCAGGAAGAGGUUCAGCAGAGUGAAGAACAUGGACAGAAGCGGACUCCAUUUUGUGUCGCAGGCAUGUUCAGGACGUUCCUGGUAUAGCCCAUAGGGAACCCUGCUGUCAACCGAGAUUUAGUUACCUUUUAUACGCGGACGUCCCAGUCUGAUGAGAAGCUGUCUCGUCUGAGGACAAGGUGUCUCGUCUGAGGAACAGACGUCCAGUCAGAGGACAAGCUGUCCACUCCGAGGAGAAGCUGUCUCGUCUGAAGACAAGCUGGCAAUGAUUCCUUCCGGGGACAGUUGUUCUCUUUAUGUCCUAUUACCUAGCCUACUUACCCUCUUGUAUAUAUACACGUUUAUUUAACAUUGUUUAAUAGUUUGCACAGCACUACUGACUUUUUGAAGACAAAUGUAAAUACACAUAUUUAUAUGUACAACUCUAUAUUCAAGCAAUUGUUUGGUGUGGUUAUUCUCAGUCACACACAUGGAACUGUCUAGUCGCAAUUUUUUAAUCUUCAUGCCAUAAAGCAUCAUUCUAUGAAUGUGAUUAACCCUGAAAUACUGUUUUUCAGUUUCUGAACAAAUAAACAAAAAACAUUAUGAAAUUUAUAUUUUACUGCUCGGUCAUUCAGAAUAAGUGGGACUGCAGAGUUAAAACAGGUCCAUUUGUCACAAUGUUUUCAGACUGUUGGUUAGUCCAUAGUAUAAAUAAUGUGGAAGUUCACUGAAAUCAACUUAUUUUCACAACAAUUCUUGUGAAUGAGAUCAAAUAAAUGUGGUGUAAAUGAUCUUGAACUCUUUCUAGAUUCUAGCUGUGGAUAACCAAUACAUGGCCCUUAUUUGAAAAAAUAAAUAAAUUUAAAGUGGCAAAAUUUGAAACGGAAGCGUG
rnacentral:lncRNA from 1 species